CGAAACCAUGAAAAGUCUGGUACAAAGUACCCAUAAUGGUUAAGCUUCUCUAGGCAGGCCUCCACGACGGUCCUAUCAACAGUUACCAUAAAUGCUGCUGUGCUACCCCAUGCAGCAAUUGAGACCAUCGGGUGGCCUAUCCUGGUGACAACGAGGUGAAAUCUAGAUGUCCAACAGGUAAUUGAAAAGAGAGAUCUUUUCUUUCCAUAUUUGGUCCUACG
rnacentral:lncRNA from 1 species